GAUGAACGCUAGCUACAGGCUUAACACAUGCAAGUCGAGGGGUAACGAGAGGGAAGCUUGCUUUCCUUGUCGACGACCGGCGCACGGGUGAGUAACGCGUAUCCAACCUGCCCCCAACUAAGGAAUAACCUUGCGAAAGUAAGACUAAUACCUUAUAAUUUCCUCAGAUGACAUCUGACGAGGAAUAAAGAUUUAUCGGUUGUGGAUGGGGAUGCGUCUGAUUAGCUUGUUGGCGGGGUAACGGCCCACCAAGGCAACGAUCAGUAGGGGUUCGGAGAGGAAGGUCCCCAACAUUGGGACUGAGACACGGUCCAAACUCCUACGGGAGGCAGCAGUGAGGAAUAUUGGUCAAUGGGCGGAGGCCUGAACCAGCCAAGUAGCGUGCAGGAUGACGGACCUAUGGGUUGUAAACUGCUUUUAUACAGGAAUAAAGUUAGCCACGUGUGGUUAUUUGUAGGUACUGUAUGAAUAAGGACCGGCUAAUUCCGUGCCAGCCGCCGCUGUAA
rnacentral:rRNA from 1 species